rnacentral:ncRNA from 1 species
GGGAUAAGGGCAUGGUCAGGUGCCCCUUCGGGGGAGAAUCGGGAAGCCGGUGAGAAUCCGGCGCGGGCCCGCCGCUGUAUCGGGGAUCGUCUGGCAGAUGCCACUGGGCCAUGCCCGGGAAGGCGCCAGGACGAGAUGAUCCGAAGCCAGAAGACCGGCCUGAUGUUCAUCGCGCUU